GAUGAACGCUAGCUACAGGCUUAACACAUGCAAGUCGAGGGGUAGCAGGGUAGCAAUACCGCUGACGACCGGCGCACGGGUGAGUAACACGUAUCCAACCUUCCCAUAACUCGGGGAUAGCCUUUCGAAAGAAAGAUUAAUACCCGAUAGUACUUAACAAAGGCAUCUUUGAUAAGUUAAAGAUUUAUUGGUUAUGGAUGGGGAUGCGUUCCAUUAGAUAGUUGGUGAGGUAACGGCUCACCAAGUCUUCGAUGGAUAGGGGUUCUGAGAGGAAGGUACCCCACAUGGGUACUGAGACACGGCCCAAACUCCUACGGGAGGCAGCAGUGAGGAAUAUUGGUCAUUGGGCGAGAGCCUGAACCAGCCAAGUAGCGUGAAGGAUGAAGGUCCUAUGGAUUGUAAACUUCUUUUAUAGUAGAAUAAAGUGAUCCACGUGUGGAUUUUUGUAUGUAUACUAUGAAUAAGGAUCGGCUAACUCCGUGCCAGCCGCCGCGGUAA
rnacentral:rRNA from 1 species